rnacentral:rRNA from 1 species
UAGCCUUGACAUACUACAGAAUUUGACAGAGAUGUUGAAGUGCCUUCGGGAGCUGUAAUACAGGUGCUGCACGGCUGUCGUCAGCUCGUGUCGUGAGAUGUUGGGUUAAGUCCCGCAACGAGCGCAACCCUCGUCCUUAGUUACUAACGGUUCGGCCGAGGACUCUAAGGAGACUGCCUUCGUAAGGAGGAGGAAGGUGAGGACGACGUCAAGUCAUCAUGGCCCUUAUGGCUAGGGCUACACACGUGCUACAAUGGGGCGUACAGAGUGUUGCGAUACCGCGAGGUGGAGCUAAUCACUUAAAGCGUCUCUCAGUUCGGAUUGGAGUCUGCAACUCGACUCCAUGAAGCUGGAAUCACUAGUAAUCGUAGAUCAGCAAUGCUACGGUGAAUACGUUCCCGGGUCU